rnacentral:rRNA from 1 species
AGCGAACGCUGGCGGCAGGCCUAACACAUGCAAGUCGAACGAACCUUUCGGGGUUAGUGGCGGACGGGUGAGUAACACGUGGGAACGUGCCUUUAGGUUCGGAAUAACUCAGGGAAACUUGUGCUAAUACCGAAUGUGCCCUUCGGGGGAAAGAUUAAUCGCCUUUAGAGCGGCCCGCGUCUGAUUAGCUAGUUGGUUGAGGUAAUGGCUCACCAAGGCGACGAUCAGUAGCUGGUCUGAGAGGAUGAUCAACCACAUUGGGACUGAGACACGGCCCAAACUCCUACGGGAGGCAGCAGUGGGGAAUCUUGCGCAAUGGGCGAAAGCCUGACGCAGCCAUGCCGCGUGAAUGAUGAAGGUCUUAGGAUUGUAAAAUUCUUUCACCGGGGACGAUAAUGACGGUACCCGGAGAAGAAGCCCCGGCUAACUUCGUG